UACGGGGGGGGCAAGCGUUGUUCGGAAUUACUGGGCGUAAAGGGCCAGUAGGCGGCCAACUAAGUCCGACGUGAAAUCCCCAGGCUUAACCUGGGAACUGCGUCGGAUACUGGAUGGCUUGAAUUCGGGAGAGGGAUGCAGAAUUCCAGGUGUAGCGGUGAAAUGCGUAGAUAUCGUUUGGAACGCCAAUGGUGAAAACAGGUUGCUGGGAGUGUGCUGACGCUGAGACACGAAAGCCAGGGGAGCAAACGGG
rnacentral:rRNA from 1 species